rnacentral:sRNA from 1 species
AGGCUGUCAAACAAAUUUAUAAAGCCGAC